AUUGAACGCUAACGGCGUGCUUAACACAUGCAAGUCGAGCGGCAGCACAGUAGUAGCAAUACUAUGGGUGGCGAGCGGCGGACGGGUGAGUAAUGCAUAGGAAUCUGCCUUAUAGUGGGGGAUAACCCGGGGAAACUCGGGCUAAUACCGCAUAAUCUCUACGGAGCAAAGUGGGGGACCGUAAGGCCUCACGCUAAAAGAUGAGCCUAUGUUGGAUUAGCUAGUUGGUAGGGUAAAGGCCUACCAAGGCGACGAUCCAUAGCUGGUCUGAGAGGAUGAUCAGCCACACUGGGACUGAGACACGGCCCAGACUCCUACGGGAGGCAGCAGUGGGGAAUAUUGGACAAUGGGCGAAAGCCUGAUCCAGCAACGCCGUGUGUGUGAAGAAGGCCUUCGGGUUGUAAAGCACUUUUAGUUGCGAAGAAAAGCUCAAGAAUAAUACUUUUGAGUGAUGACGUUACCAACAGAAAAAGCACUGACUAACUCUGUGCCAGCAGCCGCGGUAACAC
rnacentral:rRNA from 1 species